UACAAGUAUUAUAAAUUCGGUUCAUAAUCUAGGAUACUUCAUUGAGCAUGACUUAUUUAGAAAGAUUAUUACUUAUGUUUGUUUCCAUGAAUUACUAUGAGAUACUAAUGGGAUGGAAUGAUGAGUCUCAUGCUAUAUGAUAAACAUGAUAGGCACUUAUAAAAUAAGUAGAUUGAACCAAUGAUACAAGAUGACUUGUACAUAAAGUUUACUUUUGUCAAUACAAAGCCAUUUAGAUCAUAAUAGUGCAUAUAAUCUCUUGACUUGAGAUAACACGGUUAUUUUUUAUAUAGGCAAUUUGAGUUUUAUACCACUUACAUACUCGUACUAGGUAUGAGUAUACGGGUGUGUGUUGGCUCCGACUAGUUAUAUAUAGAGA
rnacentral:misc_RNA from 1 species